GGCUUCGUGGCGAAAUCGGUAGACGCAUGAGACUUAAGAUCUCACGCCUGAGGGCAUACGGGUUCGACCCCCGUCGAAGUCA